CGACUAGGUGGAACUACAUGUACGAAAGUUUAGUAGUAGCGUACGAAUAUAGAAACCCAAUUAACGCUACGUAUAAUUCUUGGGAUUGUGGGGAGGAAGAUAAUGACAUGUAACUAGACAAGAUUGGACUAACGUUAAAAUUCUUUUAGAUUUUUAGAACAUUUUCAUGUGGCUACAAAUUGCUAACUACACAAGAUUGGACUAACGUUAAAAUUCUUUUAGAUUUUUUAGAACAUUUUCAUGUGGCUACAAAUGCUUUAUCUGGCCAAUAUUAUCCAAUUGUUUCUAACUGUUUAGUUUAUAUUGCCACACUUGCUAAUUUGUUUGUUGAUUUUAGCGAGGGAGGGGGCAUUUAUGAAAUUGCAAUAACUGAAAUGAAAAAGAAGUUUAAAAAAUAUUUUUUCCCAAUCCCUCCUAUAUUUGGUGUGUCUGCUAUGUUAAAUCCUAGUAUGAAAUUAGGAGGUCCCCACUUUUGGUAUUCAUAGAUCUUUCAGAAGUAGAAAUGGCGACACUAGCUGAUGUGAAAAGCGUCAAUUAAAGUGAAUGCUCAAACUCUUUAUAAUGCUUAUAAACAGGCGUUAGAGCAUGCUAGGCCAAAUAUUCCAACCCAACUUCGUCCACAUCACAGGCGUCUAAAAGAGCUGCUGGCUUAACAGCUCUUAAAUCGUGGACUGAGUUCAGGGGUACUCAAGGGAAAAAUGUAGAUGAUAUUUCCCAUCUAAAUGAGCUUCAAGUUUAUUUGUCGCAGGGAUUAGAGAAUGAGAAUCCAGACGGCUCUUUCGACCUUUUGGANNNN
rnacentral:lncRNA from 1 species